AGACCCGAAACCCGGUGAUCUAGCCAUGGGCAGGUUGAAGGUUGGGUAACACUAACUGGAGGACCGAACCGACUAAUGUUGAAAAAUUAGCGGAUGACCUGUGGCUGGGGGUGAAAGGCCAAUCAAACCGGGAGAUAGCUGGUUCUCCCCGAAAGCUAUUUAGGUAGCGCCUCGUGAAUUCAUCUCCGGGGGUAGAGCACUGUUUCGGCUAGGGGGCCAUCCCGGCUUACCAACCCGAUGCAAACUGCGAAUACCGGAGAAUGUUAUCACGGGAGACACACGGCGGGUGCUAACGUCCGUCGUGAAGAGGGAAACAACCCAGACCGCCAGCUAAGGUCCCAAAGUCAUGGUUAAGUGGGAAACGAUGUGGGAAGGCCCAGACAGCCAGGAUGUUGGCUUAGAAGCAGCCAUCAUUUAAAGAAAGCGUAAUAGCUCACUGGUCGAGUCGGCCUGCGCGGAAGAUGUAACGGGGCUAAACCAUGCACCGAAGCUGCGGCAGCGACACUGUGUGUUGUUGGGUAGGGGAGCGUUCUGUAAGCCUGUGAAGGUGUGUCGUGAGGCAUGCUGGAGGUAUCAGAAGUGCGAAUGCUGACAUAAGUAACGAUAAAGCGGGUGAAAAGCCCGCUCGCCGGAAGACCAAGGGUUCCUGUCCAACGUUAAUCGGGGCAGGGUGAGUCGACCCCUAAGGCGAGGCCGAAAGGCGUAGUCGAUGGGAAACGGGUUAAUAUUCCCGUACUUGGUGUUACUGCGAAGGGGGGACGGAGAAGGCUAUGUUGGCCGGGCGACGGUUGUCCCGGUUUAAGCGUGUAGGUGUGUGUUCCAGGUAAAUCCGGUUCACUUUAACACUGAGGCGUGACGACGAGGCACUACGGUGCUGAAGCAACAAAUGCCCUGCUUCCAGGAAAAGCCUCUAAGCAUCAGGUAACAUCAAAUCGUACCCCAAACCGACACAGGUGGUCAGGUAGAGAAUACCAAGGCGCUUGAGAGAACUCGGGUGAAGGAACUAGGCAAAAUGGUGCCGUAACUUCGGGAGAAGGCACGCUGACACGUAGGUGAAGUGAUUUACUCAUGGAGCUGAAGUCAGUCGAAGAUACCAGCUGGCUGCAACUGUUUAUUAAAAACACAGCACUGUGCAAACACGAAAGUGGACGUAUACGGUGUGACGCCUGCCCGGUGCCGGAAGGUUAAUUGAUGGGGUCAGCGCAAGCGAAGCUCCUGAUCGAAGCCCCGGUAAACGGCGGCCGUAACUAUAACGGUCCUAAGGUAGCGAAAUUCCUUGUCGGGUAAGUUCCGACCUGCACGAAUGGCGUAAUGAUGGCCAGGCUGUCUCCACCCGAGACUCAGUGAAAUUGAACUCGCUGUGAAGAUGCAGUGUACCCGCGGCAAGACGGAAAGACCCCGUGAACCUUUACUAUAGCUUGACACUGAACAUUGAGCCUUGAUGUGUAGGAUAGGUGGGAGGCUUUGAAGUGUGGACGCCAGUCUGCAUGGAGCCGACCUUGAAAUACCACCCUUUAAUGUUUGAUGUUCUAACGUGGACCCGUUACCCGGGUUGCGGACAGUGUCUGGUGGGUAGUUUGACUGGGGCGGUCUCCUCCUAAAGAGUAACGGAGGAGCACGAAGGUUGGCUAAUCCUGGUCGGACAUCAGGAGGUUAGUGCAAUGGCAUAAGCCAGCUUGACUGCGAGCGUGACGGCGCGAGCAGGUGCGAAAGCAGGUCAUAGUGAUCCGGUGGUUCUGAAUGGAAGGGCCAUCGCUCAACGGAUAAAAGGUACUCCGGGGAUAACAGGCUGAUACCGCCCAAGAGUUCAUAUCGACGGCGGUGUUUGGCACCUCGAUGUCGGCUCAUCACAUCCUGGGGCUGAAGUAGGUCCCAAGGGUAUGGCUGUUCGCCAUUUAAAGUGGUACGCGAGCUGGGUUUAGAACGUCGUGAGACAGUUCGGUCCCUAUCUGCCGUGGGCGCUGGAGAACUGAGGGGGGCUGCUCCUAGUACGAGAGGACCGGAGUGGACGCAUCACUGGUGUUCGGGUUGUCAUGCCAAUGGCACUGCCCGGUAGCUAAAUGCGGAAGAGAUAAGUGCUGAAAGCAUCUAAGCACGAAACUUGCCCCGAGAUGAGUUCUCCCUGAGACUUAGAGUCUCCUGAAGGAACGUUGAAGACGACGACGUUGAUAGGCCGGGUGUGUAAGCGCAGCGAUGCGUUGAGCUAACCGGUACUAAUGAACCGUGAGGCUUAACCUUACAAC
rnacentral:rRNA from 1 species